rnacentral:lncRNA from 1 species
UCUACAAUAACCUUCAAAACAUAUCAUUGUUACAGGAACAGUAGACGGAUAUUUUUUAUAGCAUUCUUCAUCCGUAUCACACUCUCCUAUAAUGUAAAAUAAGAAUAAGGAAUUAUUACUAAAAAUGGGUGAAAGAUUGUGUAUAAAAAACAUUACGAGAAUGAACUUACUUUGACUAAGGGCUACGACGAGUAACAGAGAAACAAAAAGAAUCACAAUAUAAACAAAUUUCAGAGUUGCAACCAUUUUUUUCACCUUUACAUGUAAGAAAUAUAAAAUGGUUUGAUCGUUUUAUAUUGUAAAAACCUCUUUAUGUUUACCUCAGCUAAGUAGUUUUUAAUGAUUACAUUGUUCCAACAAAUCCGUCUUUAAAAUUAGAAUAAUUUGUAGAUGUCUCUAAAGAAUAAUGAUGUAUCAUAUUCGUUCUUUUAGCUCAUAUAAUAGAUCUCAUUUUUGUUUACCAACCUUUCAUUAUUAUUUUUUUUCUUAUCUAACCUUCAAUAAUAGAGAGAGAGAGAGAGAGAGGAAAACCAAAAUCAUAUUAUUUUGUGAAAUAGAUAAUAAUAUCUUUAUGUAUUAAUC